CACGCUCCGGAAUCACGUGUGUAAUCCUUCCAAUAAAAAGUGUGGCAUCACCGGCCAACAGCCUGUGUGUGGUUUGCCUGGAAGCAAAGCAUGUGAAGUUGGUUCUCGAGGGAGCUGACUGUGCACAUUGGGCUCGCAUGUCUGUGCAGAUGCGCCGCUCCCGGCGGGCACUCUUUGAAGAGGAUGCCCCCACUCUGCGGUUCUGGCACUGCUCUCACUAAGGGGGUGUGGGGGUAAAAGGGGGGUGGUUGCUUGUCUUUUAUUUUUGCGAGUUGGAAAUCAUGGAGGUUGUGACUCCGGCCGUUGCCAAGAUGGAUCUGGCUUUGCUGGCCCAUGAGCAGAGAGGGUCUUUGUCCAGCAAGGCUUUUGCCUCAGCUGGCAUAGUGGCGUGUUUUCUCUGCAGCAAACAGAGAGUCUACAGGUACGACCUAGAGGGCCUGUGUGGGACUUGGUCAUCAUGUUGGAGGUUCUAUCCGAGCCCCCUUCGAGCCAUUGACUGAGGCAUCUUGGAGCAACUGUGUUCCUCCUGGCCAUUUGCUCUCUUAAGAGAGUAGGAGAUUUGCAGGCCCUUUCUGUGACCCCCUCUUUCUGGAGUUUACUCCAGGAAUGGCCAGUGCGUUCCUGUACCCUAGGCUACAUUCUUAAGGUGCCCUCAGUCAUACCACGACCUGUUAGGCUCUAGGCAUUCUGUCCUCCUCCUUUUCAGGCCCCAGACUAGGAUAAGCUGAACAGAGCGCACUGAUUAGUCUCAUCAGCUACAGGUGCAGUCUUACCACUCAUUUCAUCUGGCUCUGCCCUCCACUUGCGAACCUUUGCCACAAUUUAUUUCUAAAUUUAUUAUUUAAAAUAAUAAUAACUGUACAUUAAAAAAAGUGUGUGCAAGUAAUGUGUGACGAAAGAAAGUCGCAAAGUUUCUGGGUGUACAGUAGUGACAGGCCAUCAAGACCUCCCUGCUAUCCUAAAUUUGAUUAGAAUCACUGACUUGAUUUCAGUAUAUUGUUGUCCAUGAAUGUGUAAUAAAUUAUUCCCAAUAUUGUAUUAUCUAAAUUUCAUAGCAUUUCUCCCGGAUGCAUUGUGUCUUGGAGAGUAAGUUUCUGUUUGAGCUUCUAUCCAAUCAGAUUUCAUCCAUCACACGUUGCUGGAGUCAAACUGUCAGAAGGCCAUCACUGUGAGCAAUGCAGGCCUGAUCCACUCCAGAGUUUGAGGCCUGCCCUAGCCUGGCUGAUCCCACCUCCUACAUGAUGACAUCAGUUUCCUAUUUAAGGAGGAAGGAGUAAAGCAAUCGAGGAGUGUUGUUGUUUUGGUGUUCAGGGUAUAGCUUGGUUGUUGAUGUUAGUGAUUUUAACCUCUGCCUGUUUACUGACUUUGAGCCUGUUUUGCCCCUUUGACUACUGUUGUUUGUAUAUAUUUAUUUUGUAUUAUAUUGUAAUAUAUUUGGGCACUGUAUAUAUUUAUUUCACUGGCAUUAGGGGUGUGGCUGCCAUUUACUUUGGGUGAGGGAUUGUUUUGCAGGGAGUUAGGGAAGCUGUUUGUAUUUUCCUUUUCUUUAUUUUCAGGAAAGGUAGCUUCCCCAAAACAGUCCUUUUUGUUUAUUGUUUUGGCCUUGGCCCAGCCUGAAGACAAGCCUGUAAGUCUGUGUACAUAUAUAUGUGUUACAAUAUACCAACACCUGUGUAGCAAACCUUUUUGUGUGUGUUUGUGGUUUGUGGGGUGUUCGUAACACUAUAUAAUAUUCAGGUUUAGCCAGUACAUGACAGUCAAUGUUUUGUCAGCUGUUUUUCUUUUCAAAAACUUUUCACUGCAUUGGCAGUUUGUUUGGGAUUGUUAUUGAUGCUGUUAUCCUUCAAAGAGGAAAUAAUGAAUUAAAAUUUGUCUGUACAUUACAGGGCAGACUUUCUACCAUGAUUUGCUGAAGGCUGCAAACACUACUUCUUUCAUCUCACUCCAAGUACUAUUCUCAAAUAAUGUCAAUGAUUUCACCCAAAAAUUCCAAACUUAGAUUUCUCACUUUAUAGUACUCUUUUUUAAAUAAUCUUUAUUCCAAUCUUUGUGCAUUUUUAGCAAAUAUAAGCUUUUCCAACCUGUACCCUUCAUAGUGUUUUUUUGGCAGCUACCCUUUUACAAUUACCAUUCCUGAUCAAGCUGGACUGUAGCAGGGUCUACUUGGCAUCCCAAAGAAGCUGCCAGAUGCUGAGCCAGGAGGGCCCGUGGCCAGGUCCUCAAGUGGGGGCACUCUUCCUGCCUCACCUGCCAUCUCGGGACCACCCGCACCCUGGAGGAGGUUCUGGUGUCCUUCUUUCCAGGAAGAUAUUCAAGCCAUUGUCUCUCCGCCUGUGUCAUAUGCAACCAGUCAAAAGACACCUCACCAAAGGCCAACAACAUGUGAGAUGAUCUCAUCAGGUUUGGAGCAGGACCCGGGACAGGCUGCUCCGCACCUCUCAGCUUUACCAAUGGCAGGCUAAUCAUCACCGCAGGCAGGCAGGCACCCAACCUAAGGGUUGGCCAGAGUGUCUGGCUCUUAACUACACACCUGCCCUUGCACAUGGCGUCUUGUACCCCCCCACCCAUCGGCCUCUAUUUAUCGGGGGUCAACCGAUACAGGACUCGCCUCAUGUACAACGAUCUUUGCAGUAUCUGAUGGAUUGGGAGGGCUACGGCUCAGAAGGAGCGCUCCUGGGUUCCUUCCCGGGACAUCCUUGACCCCGAGCUCAUCAGAGAGAUCCAUGCCCACCAAGCUGAUUGUCCUGGGAGGAAAGUCAGGAGCCGUUCCUUAAGGGGGGGGUCUUGUUAGGGUCCUGUUAGGUUCCUGUUGCCUUUUUGUUAAUCUCCUUCCCUACCCCUCUUCUUCACCUGUUUCCUAUGUAACCUGUCCUUAUUUAAACCUCGUCUUUCUUGCAUGCGCCAAUUGGUCUUUAGCUAAUCUAACCGUAUAGCUCGCUUCCUGAAGCUUUUUACCGAGGCUUUUGCGAUUCAUCAAGCCUUUUUCGAGUUUCACUUUCCAGCUCGCGUCCUUCUCCCGAGGCAUUUUUCUGCAUGGCUUCUCCCGAGGCUUCGAGUGUAAGUUCAUUCCUCGAGUUCUUCUCUCCCUUCAAAUUCUUUUAGUCGUCUUCUAGUUCUUUCGGUUUAGUUUAAGCUGGGCUUUCUCCUGAAUUUUCUCAAGGAGAUCUGACAAACCAGCCUUCUGGUAACUUUGUUUCUGUUUGUUCUUUGCCAUCCUCCUGUUUUUGAUGCUGCCCUUUUCUCUCUUUGUUUCAUUUGUGACAUAUUUUAUGAAGAUAAAAUUAAUACAAUGAAUGUAAUAAAAUGUUUAUUAUAUAGAUUAAAUUGAGUAAUCAAUUAAAGUGGCACAAAAAA